rnacentral:rRNA from 1 species
UACAGGGGGUGCAAGCGUUGUUCGGAAUUACUGGGCGUAAAGGGCGCGUAGGCGGCACAGCAAGUCGGGAGUGAAAGCCCGGGGCUCAACCCCGGAACUGCUUUCGAAACUGCUGAGCUAGAGUACAGAAGGGGCAACCGGAAUUCCCAGUGUAGCGGUGAAAUGCGUAGAUAUUGGGAAGAACACCUGAGGCGAAGGCGGGUUGCUGGGCUGAUACUGACGCUGAGGCGCGAAAGCCAGGGGAGCAAACGGG